GAUUCCCUAGUACUGCGAGUGAGCGGGAAAAGCUCAAAUUUAAAAUCCUUCGGGAGUUGUAAUCUAUAGAAGUGUUUUCGGUCGUUGCCUCGGACAAGUCUCUUGGAACAGAGCGUCAUAGAGGGUGAGAAUCCCGUCCUUGCCGAGCUCCCAACGUCUAUGUGAUACACUUUCAAAGAGUCGAGUUGUUUGGGAAUGCAGCUCAAAAUGGGUGGUAAACUCCAUCUAAAGCUAAAUAUUGGCGAGAGACCGAUAGCGAACAAGUACCGUGAGGGAAAGAUGAAAAGCACUUUGGAAAGAGAGUUAAACAGUACGUGAAAUUGUUGAAAGGGAAGCGCUUGGAGUCAGUCGCGUUGCAAGGACUCAGCCUCACGGUGUAUUUCUUUGCAACGGGUCAACAUCAGUUUCGACCGCGGAAAAAGGGCUUGAGGAAUGUGGCAACCUCGGUUGUGUUAUAGCCUCCUGUCGUACGCCGCGGUUGGGACUGAGGUCUGCUUACAGGAUGUUGACGAAAUGGCUCUAAGCGACCCGUCUUGAACCACGGACCA
rnacentral:rRNA from 1 species